AGGAGUUCCGGUAGGUGAGGGAGCGCGGACGCCCCGGGGAAGAGGUCGGAGGUCUCCGGAACUAAAGCCGGUGGAGAAAAGGGUCUGGGAUAGGGCCAGAAAUUCUACAUUUCUAACAAGCUUCCAAGGAUGUGGGUGCUGAUGAUCUACAGACCUUACUUUGCUCAGCAGACCAUCAAACAACCAAAGGGUUUUAUGGAGAAAUGACCCAUGAAAAACAAUUCCCUGCUUCUACCAGAACAAACUUGCUGGACGUGGAUGGCCCCAUCUAGAUGGCCGAGAGCUGGAAGUUGCACCCUGUGAUCAUGAAGGAAGUUGCUGUGGUCCGUAAUUCUGUGUUAUAUUAUUGGGUGUUGGAGGAUUUGUAUUCCUUUAAAUAUUUCGUUCUGAGAAUGUAUUGCUUCCUUCAUCAGGAAAACUUGAGGUGGCAUGCAAAAAUACAUGGGCCACAGAUAUUUUAAAAAUAUGAAGAAAUCCGGUCAAAGGGAGAAAAUAUAGGUAGGAAAAAUAAGAGGAGUCCCACAUGGAAAGGGCUGAUGGAUUCCUUUCAAGUAGUGUUUCUGUCCUCCCAGAUGACACCUUGGAAAAUUAGAACAUGUUCAAACAUACAGAGAAGACUAGAGAUUAAUAUCAUGAGGCUCACGGAAUUACCACCCCCUUUGCCAAAUAUGCUUGGGGAAAGUUAUCCCUAAUGCCCUUUGGAUGCAGUUGCAUUUGACAGCUCCUCCCUCUUUCUCCAGGUCCUCCCCCCCCCCCCGCCGCUUCCUGUGCCCACCUUCUCUCCCACCCUCCAGUAAAGAGCCUGAAAUGAGUAUGGUUGUAUUCAGUUUUAUAUUUAGAAGCCCUAAGGAAUUAUACUAAGGAAGCAAGAAGAAGCCAUUUGGUUGGUUGUCAGUGGGUCUUGUUUGAAGGCAACUUGCCCCAGGGAUUCAUUUGCAGAAUUUCUAGCACCCAGGUAUUGGGGGAAAGAAAGUGUUGCAUCCAGAAAAUCUAACCCAGAAGUUUUCUGUUUCUUCCCACCCCUCACCCCCCAACACUUUUAGCACUGAAUUUUCUCCCUAGAUUCUCAGCUUAUCUGCUUUGGGUUUUCCCCUUUCUGGCCCCUAUCCCAACCUUUGAUUUCUAGGCUUUAUUCAGGCUCCACAAGUAAGUAGUGACAUCUCUAUGAUGCUCCCUACAUGGGGAAGUGUGUGUCAGGAUAUCAGGAGGCAGGUAGUUGAUGCCUGGAGGGCCCACUCACUUACCUCCUCAUUUCCCCUGUAAAGUCUCUUCCACUCCUGGGGGGGGGGGGGGUCUCCGGCUGCUGCCGAGAAGCCUUUUGUUGGGUCAGAGGAAACACUCUGCUCACACUGAUGCCAAUAAGCCCCCAGAAUUUUCCACUCCACGAUUAUUUGUCCCUCCCUGACCGUGAAUAAAGGAAAAGCCACACGCAGACACAUGUUAUUAAAAUGAACUGUUUAUAUUAUCUCAGUUGAGUCAAUACAUUAUAAUGUAUUAAAAUGGAAAGGUACAAAAUUGAAAUAAAUACUUUCUGAUUCAUGUAUAAAUCUUUUUUUUUUUGUCAAGAUGACUUUUAUCGUCAGUACAUGUCACAAGAAAACAUUUAAAAUGACACUAAAACAAUCAUUUAAAUCAUGGUGCAUGGAGGAAAAAGGUAAAGAAAACAACUUUUGGCUUGUUUUGGCAUGAGACCUUGAUACAAUUUGGGUUCCCCAAAACCAUGUGAAGGGUGGUAAAAUAGAAAUGCUCAAAACUGACUUAAAAAAAUAAACAGGCUUUACAAAACCCCUCUUUUUGAUAAACCCAGCCACUUCUCUACAUGGUCUGCACUUACAGUAGAUACAUUCAUUAUUGUCCACGGGAAGACAGCAACUGCCUUUCGUUUUAAAGAGCUUGGUGGAGAGGCUGACGAAAUACGGUGCAGCUGAAGGUGAGUAGAAUGUUCAGGAGAACACAAAGUCUAGAUGGUCUUCAGGAAUGGCACUGAGGAUGAUGGGGUGUGGAGGGUCUCUGGAACAAGAGGUGGAGGGGAGGGUGCGUGAGGAGUCCAGAUCUGAAGCAAAGCCAAGUCUGAAGGACAGCCACGGUUGUCAGCAGUGUAAGUGUAGUGUGGGGAAUCUCUCCCCGUCUGAGCAGUUCUGGGUUUGUUCUUAGCCUGGGUACGUUUCUGUUUCAGCAGAGGCUAACCCAGUGCUUUGGAGACGGGGCUGGGACUCUUUUCAGGCACAGCAGCACUGGGGAGACAGGGACAGGUGUAGGGGUUAACAAUGAAUGCCAACAAAGGGGCUUUCUCUUCUGGUUCUGACUGCUUCUGAGGUGGUUGUUAAGGCAAUAAGGACUUUAGCAAACUAGAAGUUAAGGGCAGCUAAAUUCAGCCAGAUUGAAGGUAAACAAAAGGUGAGAAGGACUCCUUUUCUCCUCAGCUACCUUUCCCCCCAAGCACAGGAGGCCUCAGCUCCCGAAGCUCUGAAUUUACAGUACGCAGUAGCGGAGGGCGUGCCCUUUGGAAGGCUCCAUGGAAAAGAAGACUUAUCCCUGACUUGGGGCAUUUUAUUCUCCAGACUCUCUUUCUUGAAGUUCUUUCAGGAGGGCAGGCUAUGCUCACCCAGCUAUUGAGUGAAAAGUGGAAGCACCAAGGUUUGUGCAGUUAGGUUAAGUCCUUGGCUAUAGACUGUCUAUGGCCCAUCUCAAUGGCCUUGAACACCAUAUGUCCUAGAAAGGCAGGCCUGACAUUCACAUGCUUCAGGGAGACCUAUGUUCACCUGGAGAACAGGACUAGCCUUUCAGGGUUCAGGAAUAUUUCCCCUGUGUCUGAUCAAAUGACAGUUACAAAGUCCAUAGAAGUAUGAGAUCCUUGGAAGGUUUGUGAGCCCAUGGGUGGCGGGUUCUUAGGGGAGUAAUAGAAGCUCCUUUGAAGUCACUCACAGAGAGAUGUACAGAAUACUGAACAAAACAGAUGCGAGAAUCUUUUCCUUCUUAUUCUGGAGUAAAGGAGAUGGACCGUGAAAUGCUGUGGGAAGGAUAAACCUUGAGAGCUGCCUGCCGUUCUGAGCAUCUUCUGGCGAGAUGCUGGGUGUUUGGACUACUAAGACCCUGAAAUUCAAGAACUGGCUCUCAAGCAGUUGCUAAAAGGUACAACCACUUACUCCAGCAAAUGAACCACAUGUGGUCUCAGUGAACAACACAGAUAUCCCCUCAUCCUGUAGAAUGAGAUUACAGUCUGAUGCAAGGGCCUGAGGAUGUGAUGUCCUGGACCCAAUGGUUGUGCUCUAAUUACUGAAGG